rnacentral:rRNA from 1 species
ACAGCAGUAGCCGCGGUAAUACGAAGGGUGCAAGCGUUAAUCGGAAUUACUGGGCGUAAAGCGCGCGUAGGUGGUUUGUUAAGUUGGAUGUGAAAUCCCCGGGCUCAACCUGGGAACUGCAUUCAAAACUGACUGACUAGAGUAUGGUAGUGGGUGGUGGAAUUUCCUGUGUAGCGGUGAAAUGCGUAGAUAUAGGAAGGAACACCAGUGGCGAAGGCGACCACCUGGACUAAUACUGACACUGAGGUGCGAAAGCGUGGGGAGCAAACAGGAUUAGAUACCCCGGUAGUCCCUGUCUCUUAUAC